UUGUGGAAGCGCCGCAGCGUGUGUUUUUCUUUUCUUUUUAUCAUUUCGCUCAUGUUUUAUGACACAAUCCUCACGUGACUUGGAGCCAUUUUACAAUUAUUGCGCUGAAAUAUGUAAAGCUGGGGCUUUCUACAGGAGCUGUCGCGGUAAAUACGACGAUGAAAUGUUAACUGGAAUUAACUAAAUCAAACUUUAGGAUCUUUGGUGCCAGAUAACGCCAAUAACGCGCUUGAGUAGGUCGACACGGAUAUUAACCCCAAACAGGGAUGCGAUGUUUUUUCAAAGUUUCUAAAUCACAACACAUAGUUAACCUGUUUUUCAGAUAUACCUGCAGUAUAGUUUCGACCCAGCUCAUCAUUUUCACUUCUCGAACUCUUGGUCCUUCAUUUGACCUUGACAUCAAUUUAAGUUUUCAUUUUCUUCGUUUUCCGUUUAUUUUCCAACUUACCUGCCCCUUCUAGGUGCUGUUGCUUUUAAACGGUCGUGAAAAACCCCCUUUCUCCACCAUUAGUCUACUAGAAAUCAACAAACAGCCAGAAAUGCGAUAAAUUCCCUUUGAUAGGGUUUUGCCCAAAUUUCAAACAUUUAUGGAGUAUGUAGUUUCAAGAGGAGAGAGGUGCGCAAACCAAAAAAAAAAGCAUGUCAGCACUGUUGCUGUGCGUACAGUCUAACUUGAUCAUGUAAAUCGUAAUGCACUCAAAAGUAUCUAGUCCAUUGGCUAUCCAAUUAAGAAAUGCCAGGCUCACUGCGUUGUGUACGUUACAUUCAUUUCUACCCCUCAAGGUGGUAUUGCGGAAUAGUUGCCGAUCGACGGUUACAUGAGCUCACCAGAUGAAAAAUAAAAUCCCUGUGAAAAU